GACGAACGCUGGCGGCGUGCUUAACGCAUGCAAGUCGAACGGAAAGGCCCUGCUUUUGUGGGGUGCUCGAGUGGCGAACGGGUGAGUAACACGUGAGUAACCUGCCCUUGACUUUGGGAUAACUUCAGGAAACUGGGGCUAAUACCGGAUAGGAGCUCCUGCUGCAUGGUGGGGGUUGGAAAGUUUCGGCGGUUGGGGAUGGACUCGCGGCCUAUCAGCUUGUUGGUGGGGUAGUGGCUUACCAAGGCUUUGACGGGUAGCCGGCCUGAGAGGGUGACCGGCCACAUUGGGACUGAGAUACGGCCCAGACUCCUACGGGAGGCAGCAGUGGGGAAUAUUGCACAAUGGGCGGAAGCCUGAUGCAGCAACGCCGCGUGCGGGAUGACGGCCUUCGGGUUGUAAACCGCUUUCGCCUGUGACGAAGCGUGAGUGACGGUAAUGGGUAAAGAAGCACCGGCUAACUACAUG
rnacentral:rRNA from 1 species